GGAUACUUGGCUUCAAGAGUAAAAGAACAUUUAAGUGAUGAAGCUAGAACAGGUAUAACAAGUUACCAGUUAGGCUUAUUGGCAAUCAAGCCAUUGCAUUGGCUUGAUAUUACCAUUGUUUAGUUCACACUUAAGAAAGUGAAGAUGAAAGAGAGGCAUAAACAAUCCAACGACUGGCUCUUAGCAAGAUAGGCUAAAGAGGCCAAACAUUCUGGAGUGAGGGAAGAUUUGACCUUAACUAACCAGUCAAAUGUAAGCACCACCACUGGUAAAUGGUGGCAAGUAA